AGGAUUAACGCUGGCGGCGUGCCUAACACAUGCAAGUCGAACGAGGUAGCAAUACCUAGUGGCAGACGGGUGAGUAACGCGUGGUCAACCUACCGUUGAGCGGGGGAUAACUAGCCGAAAGGUUAGCUAAUACCGCAUACGUCUAGCACGGCAUCGUGCAAAGAUAAAAGCCGCAAGGCACUCGACGACGGGACCGCGUCCCAUUAGUUAGUUGGUGGGGUAACGGCCUACCAAGACUCCGAUGGGUAGCUGGUUUGAGAGAGCGACCAGCCACACUGGGACUGAGAAACGGCCCAGACUCCUACGGGAGGCAGCAGUGAGGAAUUUUCCGCAAUGGGCGAAAGCCUGACGGAGCGACGCCGCGUGUGGGAAGAAGGCCUUCGGGUCGUAAACCACUGUCGAAGGGGAAGAUAUUGACGGUACCCUUGGAGGAAGCCCCGGCUAACUACGUGCCAGCAGCCGC
rnacentral:rRNA from 1 species